UACGUAGGGGCCCAGCGUUGUCCGGAAUUAUUGGGCGUAAAGAGCUCGUAGGCGGUUCGGCAAGUCGGAUGUGAAAUCUCCACGCUUAACGUGGAGGGGCCAUUCGAAACUGCUGUGACUCGAGUCCGGUAGGGGAGUGUGGAAUUCCCGGUGUAGCGGUGAAAUGCGCAGAUAUCGGGAGGAACACCAGUAGCGAAGGCGGCACUCUGGGCCUGUGCUGACGCUGAGGAGCGAAAGCGUGGGGAGCGAACAGG
rnacentral:rRNA from 1 species